rnacentral:rRNA from 1 species
AACGAACGCUGGCGGCAGGCCUAACACAUGCCAGUCGAGCGAGGACUUCGGUUCUAGCGGCGGACGGGUGAGUAACGCGUGGGAAUGUGCCCUUCUCUACGGAAUAGCCCUGGGAAACUGGGAGUAAUACCGUAUACGCCCUAUUGGGGAAAGAUUUAUCGGAGAAGGAUCAGCCCGCGUUGGAUUAGGUAGUUGGUGGGGUAAUGGCCUACCAAGCCGACGAUCCAUAGCUGGUUUGAGAGGAUGAUCAGCCACACUGGGACUGAGACACGGCCCAGACUCCUACGGGAGGCAGCAGUGGGGAAUCUUAGACAAUGGGGGCAACCCUGAUCGAGCCAUGCCGCGUGAGUGAUGAAGGCCUUAGGGUUGUAAAGCUCUUUCAGCUGGGAAGAUAAUGACGGUACCGGCAGAAGAAGCCCCGGCUAACUCCGUG